CCGACACAUUCUCCGUCUUUCAUCGGCGCCAAAACAUCACAUAAAUCUAACUCGCUCGCUCACCCGAACCAACUUCACGGCAAUGCGCGCGUCGACCAAUCAGCGGCCGGCGACGCAUCGCCAUGUUGGAUUAGCCGAUCGCAAUGCCCUCUGCCCGAACUAAUGCGAAACGUAGGCUUGUGUUUUCCUUACUGUUUUUGUGUGGUUUUCUUGGUUUUAAAUGGUUUUCUACGUUUAGUUUUCAUUUAAUCAGUGAAUUAUUGCGUGUUAUGGUUUUGUUGGCUGCGAAUUAUAAGUUUGUAUGAUAUUUUCGAGUGAAAACAACAUGUUAAAAUCAAAAGGACGCCACGACGUAUACCUAAAGCUAAGUUCAGUUCGUGCAAUGCUUUACAUGGACUUCUAUUAAAGACGGCGACGUGGGCAGAACAAUGUUAUACCAACCAAAAUAAUGGAUGAACUGACUUUUCAACGACAAGGAAAAAUGAAUCCAAAACUAACACCGCGUAAGUUGAAAAUAGAGCAGCAUGCAGCAAUACGAGCAAAGAACUAAUGUUGGAUGGCAUGAUGAAAUGUGACAGUUCAUUAUGCGGAAGAUAACGGAUAACGGACGGUACAGCAUACAGUGAACAAUUGCAGCGUGAAGAGGGGAGUGGCCGCGGUGUCAGCCCGUGUUGUGAGUGAAAUAUAGCAUUAGCUUCUAAGAAGAUCACCGUGACUUCAAUGCGACGCUUCCACAAAAAGAAAGUCCACACCACGAGGCAGUUGGGAUUCAUAUUUAUCACUUCACAGCUGCGCACCUAUGAUCGAUCUUAUCCAAGAUGGCGGCCGGCGCGCCGCGCGAACAGGCGGGAAACAAGCGCAUGCACACCUCCUCCGCCAUAACAGACCCGUCAAUCUUCCGACAGAUUUGAAAUUAGAACACUUUUAUUCUUUUUUCGAAUGAUACUACCGCAAAAUACGUGCUGUCUCGCGGACGGUUUGCGUUGCACUAAAUUAACAAAAAAGUGCUUAAACGUAUUCAAAACUUGAAAGCCAUAAAACAUAUCUCCCCCAUUAUUAGUUUAUGGCUUGCGACUGUUACGGGCCUAUUAUGCUGUUAUUUUUCUGUGUAUUGGUGUUUGUUUUGGCUGUAUGCGGCGGACUGGCUUACCAAUUUAGGGUACCAUUACAAAAUGCCUCUAUUGAGUAGAGGUCUGUUAACCGUUUUUAAGUGACUCUAUUAUCGUUCUUGUUCUUUAGUUUUUGUUUCCUGUCUAUUGAUUUAUCUUACGUAAUAGUUAAUACUAGGUACGUAUGUAAAUAUAUUUUGAUUUUAAAACAGGUUACAAAACUCUGCCUGACAUAAUUUGUUACAGUAGGUAUUUGAGAUGUAUUUUUUAUUCUUUGCCUUGAUGAUGAAUACUUAAAUUUAGCUAAUAAUUGACUCAAUACGAAAAAAAUAUGACAUCAUUUAAAUACUGAAAUUUAUAAGUUUCAGUUGCAUAAGUGUCGUGUACGUAUUUAGCGAUAAAACAUGGAAUUAAUUCAUUUCUCAUUUUUUAUACAUGAAUUUAUCAAUGUAGCAAUAACUGCAUAACUCCUGAAUAAAUUAAUAUUUUGAUCGAGAUCUAGAAAAAAAGCAUAAAUGCUCAUGGCAGACGGUUACUCGUCUAAGAAAACAUUUUGUAGCGCGCCGCGAAGUAGAGCCACUUUCGUAGCGUUCGAAGUUAGAUGCAUAUUCACAAUACUACGGUAGAUACCUACACGUAAGAAGUACUUGUAUUUAUUUAUGUAUUUGUGCAUCGAAUUCCAAUUAAUUUCAUCGACUUUUCCUAGAACGUUUAAUAUUUGAAUAAUUAGUUAUGUUAUUGACACUCAUUGUUUUGCUUCGUCAAUUGUUUUAAUUUGUACAAGUAAAGAAUAAAGUGGAUGUGAUUUUUAAUGCAAACAUGUAACUCAAAAUCUGCUUUAUAUGUAAUUUUCCCACUGCAUUUGAAUAAUUAGGGCGAAAAUUAAUUAAUAAGCCAUACUCAAUACACAAACUUUGAGAAACCAGAAUAUUUUACAAGUAUGUAACUUGACUAACUUGUGAUUACAAUACCUCAUUUCCCUUUAAUAAUGGUGCAUUUAUAAUCAUUCGGUGCCCACGGCAAUAUUCAGUCGCCAAUUUGGGAACUUGUUUAGAAAUUAUAGGUUCAGCUCUCGCUUGAGGUUAGGUUGUUGCAGGUUUAAAAACUUCGACGUACUGAAAAAUAAGCUCAGGAAUGCAAAUAAAGUUCCUGCUGUAUUGAGUGUGACUAUACGUUAUAGGCACUGUUUAGAAUGAUUGAAAAGACUGAUACGGAAUUGGGUUCCGUAGACCAUGUUUUAUGGCUAGUAAAAAAUGUUGUAGGUCACAUUUUGUAAGGAGUUUUUAUGGUUCAUGAGGUUUGGAAGUCUUGAUGUAGAGAAAAGUUUUUUUUUUUAGUUCAGUUGGUAUGUCUCUUAUAAGGUUCUCUCUGAAUUUAAAAUAAUUUUUUUGCAUACUAGCUUUAACUACUUUUAAUGUUACCAUCUUGCAAAAAUGUUUUCCUUUUCGUGGUCCGCUGUAUUUUGCCUUUGGCUAAUUGCAAGGGUUUGAUUAUUGGAACCAAAACAAAUUGUAUAAAAUAAACGGUUGUAAAUGUAACCGGUAUAUGCAACAAGCAUUUACUGGAGACCAACUUAUUUCCUCUAUUAUUUUGUUAAUUGAAUCAAUUUACUGUCUUUGCUAUUUACUUAAAAUCUUGUUAUUUAUAAUUUUAUUAGCACUAGUUUUAGACUUGUCACCAGUAGGUCAAUUAUUCAUUCGAAGGGAAUUAAUAGUAAAUUGUUAUUAAUUAAUCAAUAUAAAAAUGGAAUAAUUUUAUACUCAAAAUGUUAACUAACUUUUGUAAGAAAAAUUAUUGUAUGUAGUGUUUGUAAGUUUGUGACUUUUGACAAUUAUAAAAUUCGAUUUUUUUACAGGUAUGUUAGCAUGGGAGUAUAGGCACGUGACAUUUUUUCGCGAACCACAACACAGGUCGGCAGAUCGUGUUCGCAUCGGACAGCGGACGCCGGACAGCCGGACAAGCCCGAACUUUUCAUACAACCCACGUCCAACGUCCAACAAGCGUCCUUGUAUUGUUUCGCGGCCCGCGUUGCGUGAACACCGAGUGAAAUAUGGCCGACGGUUCGACUACUUAUUUUUGUUUUAUUUUUUUAGCCCGUGUUACUUAAUUUUAUCAAGUCGCAUGAGUUAUGAGAGGCGAGACCACACGCGUUGCGUUAAUUACGCGUUAGUUAAUGUACAGGUGAGUCGCUCCACGCUGCGAUCGUGAUUGAUUCGAAUGCCAUGAUUCCAUCUUUGAAAAAUCCUAUUCCAUAUUUUCUAUUUCUAACCAGUUAUUAAAUGCAAUGUUCCAAAUUGAUUUUGAAAGAAACAUCUCUAUUCUAAAUCAUGCUUCCAAUUUGUCUGUUUCAAAAAGAUUCUAAUAAGCUGUAUAAGGAAUUUUGUUUAGUGUUUGUUAUUGGCGGUAAUAAAUACAUAAGCGUUUAGAUUCCAUGCGGCGUCUUUUACCAGACCAGUAAAGUUUUCGUCAGAGGGCCAUUAGUCUGUAUAAAUUAUCUAGUGCCGGGCUUUCAUCUUAAGAAUCGGAGGCAUAAUCGAGUGGUCAUUUGUCGAGUGGUCAGUGGCACUCCUCAAGUUAAUAAUAAUGCGCCCAAACUAGAUCGGGCCAUUGACCCGGGCGCUCGGCGCGGGCGCGGCGAGCACUCCCGCCAUAAUUUGGAGCGCUAAAAUGCUACUGAAGACGUUUAACCGAGAUCGUGCGCUUGAUCAGUAGCGAUUUUAUCGAUAUCAUAAAACAUAAUCGAUGUUAACACAAAAUAUGUAGGUGCUAAAAAUAGGAUUCUUAGUCAUUAAUAUCUGAUAGAUUCAUUAUUGUGGGCAAUAAAGAAGAUGUUAUGAUCGUUAUAAUUGCGCAAAGUUUACGAUUCGAAUAUUAUGUUUUCAACAUUAUCAUUUAAUUCACUUUUGCGAUAUAUUUCAAUCGAAUCUCUUUUAAUGCUUUAGAAAGUGUAAUUUUAAUUUUCUAAUGUAGAAAGUUAAUUGAACAUUUAAAAAAUACUUGAAACCAAAUAAAUGAAGCUUUCAGCGGUAGCUAAGUUUAGUAUGUUAACAGAGCCUUGUACUGUACUUGAAGUAAAUUUACAGGUUGUCCGCCCAAUGCUAACGACCAACACAUUAAACCUCUGGUUGACUCUACAAACAUUCUCUAGAUUAAAUCAAGUGACUGUCUUUUUAGCUAUUUAAUUUAUUUAUUUUAUUUUAACAUUUAGAUGAUCAGUAAAUGGUUAAAAAUAUGAAAACUUAAUUUGAUUAUGAAUAUAUCACAUUGAAGUGAAAAAAUAAGACUAAAUUAAAAUAGUUUAUAGUGCUUCAAAGUGUGGACACUAUUAAUCGGUGAUAAAAUAAAUAACUUUUAAUUGUCAGUUGUAACAUUAAGUAGUACAUAAAUGACAAAAAAUCACAUUAAACUACAAUAUCUAUCAAAUCAUUGAAAUAUAAAGCUCCAAAUAAAAUAAAACCAGCCAUAAAACUCUGAUCAAAUUAACUCAAUCUCUACGUUUAUUUAUUUUUUAUUGUCACAAAUUAGUAAUUUAAUGAAGAUUCCAAGACUUGAUGGCAACAAUAAAAUUAUGAAUGGCACUCAAAUCUGUCUUGACUAAUAAGGUGCUAACGAGGGUCGUUCGUUUUAUGUGCGUUUUAUUGACACUUGAGUCGAGUUGUCGGCUCUCUACCUGCCACCGCGGUUCUUAUUGGUUUCCUACGAGACAUGAAUGGGAAUUUCUGAUUCCAACUCGCGCUUCAAUCAGAUAGCGGCAUUUUAGAGCUUUUAUACUAUAACAAUAUUAGUCGAUGAAUGUUACACAUUUUUAUUACAUAUUAUUGAGCAAUUAAAAUUUUGUUUUGGGCAGGUAAUUGCUCUUUGAUUUCUCGAUUUUUGUCAAAUUAAGGAUUGUAUAAUGAUUAGAUAUGCAUUUGAGCUUCAUUAAUUUUUAACUAGUUUAUGGGGGCUGUUAAAG